UGCCAGCCGCCGCGGUAAUACGGAGGGGGUUAGCGUUGUUCGGAAUUACUGGGCGUAAAGCGCACGUAGGCGGAUUGGAAAGUUGGGGGUGAAAUCCCGGGGCUCAACCCCGGAACUGCCUCCAAAACUAUCAGUCUAGAGUUCGAGAGAGGUGAGUGGAACUCCGAGUGUAGAGGUGAAAUUCGUAGAUAUUCGGAAGAACACCAGUGGCGAAGGCGGCUCACUGGCUCGACACUGACGCUCAGGCACGAAAGCGUGGGGAGCAAACAGGAUGAGAUA
rnacentral:rRNA from 1 species